GUUAAUAUCGACAGGCUUGAACAAAGUUAUGCUGCACCCUAAAAACAAGUUGUCAACAAUGUUGUUACCGUAUUGUCACAACUGAACAAUUCUGUAUAGCGACAUUGUUGACAACUUGUUCCUUAAUAGGGUGCAGCACAACCCGACCUUGUUCAAGAUUGUCCAUAUCAAC